GAGGAGGCGGGGCUAUGACGUCACGCAGAGGGGGCGGGACCUGCGCCUCCACGCAUUCUCGAAGAGAGCGGGGCGGAGCCAGCACUUCGCGUUCUCUGUCGUGAGACUCGCUCGCCCAGCUGUUGGAAGGGGGCGGAGCCGAGGCGGUGAUGCCACAAGGGUAGCCGCUCCACUCUCUCUUUCUAUUGGCUGGGCUCCCCGGAGCUGGGCGGCAGGCGAGGGAAAGAUGCUCAGUCAAGAGAGCGGGUGACCAAGCGGGGAAGGAGCGUGCGCGCGUGGGCUGGCGCAGAGCUCGCUGCUUUCGAUUCCUCGGAAACGCGGCGGGGGCGGGGAAAUGGCUCAAGCCUCGCCCGCCCCGCCCCGCCCUGGCUGAGGCGCCGCGGAAGCCCGUACGCUGGACUCCGCGGGCGGGGGGCCAGGCCCAGAGGGCAGCCGCUUCGCAGCGAAGGAGGGUCUGGAACAGGGCUGGGCCUGGCUCCUCUGUGGGAGCCCCGCUCUGUAGAGCACCAGCUCGCGGCGCUGCUCGGAGCCCCUUAGAAACCCGGCUGGCCGAAGCUGAGCAGGGCGCGCAGGCCGGCACGGAGACCCGCCUGAACCCCGCAUGAAGAGGGCUCAGGGCUGCUGCAGCAGGAGAAAGUUGACUGGAGACGCUUAGGCCCAUCCCUGUAGCCCAGUCCCCCGUCGAGCGUGCCCUAGCGUCUGGGCCUCCGAGGGAUGGAGACUGUGUCUCCCCUGAUGACUCUCAGCGAGCCUCAGCCAGGGACACUGCUCCUAGUCCGGAGCUGGCAAGUGGCCACUGCAGGGUGGUGUGUUUGGAGAGGUGUCUCAUCCCCAGGGGCAGCUCUCUGUAUUUUGCCACCCGAAGCCUGGCAGUCAGGUGGCUGUUGGUGGCGCGCCUUCGCUUAUCCGUCGCUGUAAUACCACGGAACCAGCUGACCUGCAGAAACGCCAACGUGCCCUCACGGUGACCAGCAGGCCGCCCCCUGCGGCUUGCCACCCAGGCACGUGCUUGGUGCGCUGUGCCUGGAGCCGCCCCUGCCCAGGGGAAGCAUCAGCUGCUACAUCUCUCCUGAGCUGUGGGGCUGAGUUCUGCACACACAAGCCUACCACAACCAACUCCUCUGGGCCCAGCUUGCUGAUUUACCUCCUGUGUAGCAAUGCUCUGUAUGCUGGCUGCCCUUUGAGGAUCAAUGAGCUGAAUGUAAGAUUAAUUCACCAUGACCUCUGACAACCUUUCCUUCUCCCCUGUGACUGACAUUGAAGUUUCCCACCCACUUUCCUCUGGUCCAUACACUUGAUAAAGUCACCUUUCUCCCUGCUUUGGUUGCUUUCACUGGUUCACCCUCUUCCACAACAUGAAGUUCAAGUAUCUCGUCCUUAUCUUCAAGCUAGUACUGCGCAACUCUGCCACCUUCCUAGUGUUCCUUCUAAUUUUUCCCACCCUUGGUGCCCAUAACAAAAUUCAUUCUGCACAAUAUGGAGGGGAUGUAUGGUGGGUGAGAGGUUUGGAGUGUGGGAGGAGGCUCAAGGCUGGGGGUGCAGGCUUUGGGGUGGGACCAGGGAAGAGGGCUUUGGGUGCAGGAGGGAGCUCAGGGCUACAGUGGGGAGUGAGGACUCUGCCCAGCUCUCUCUCCCCACAUCAGUACCUGGGCUGGCAGAGGAGGCUCUCUCUGCUGUGGCAGAUCUGGGGCUGCAGCAUAGGUGAUCCUCCCCCAGGCCCUGACGGUCCAGGCUGGAGGAGGGCUGUGCCUGGGCUGGCCCAGGCAGCACUGCAGCAGAGUUGGGGCUGGGGUAAGGGUAGCAGGUUGAGGGCUGGGCAAGGUGAGGGCCAGGGGAAGGCAUCCCUCCCCUGGCCAUUGUAGGUCCCCUGAGUGCCUGUGUGUUGCAAAAUAGGCUGCUGCACGGCUGUGCAGCUUACAGGGAACCGAGUUUUCUACUUAUCUGUCCUUGUCAUGCCUCCGCUCCUCCAACAGUGCCAUCUCCAAAUACCAUUUACCUGCUUUUCUAGUGAUCUUUUCUGCACCCUCUGCUACAUCACCCCCAAGCAUGGAAUAACUUUCCUGAGCUGGUUCAGACUGCAACCUCAAACCCCUUCUGAACCUCUUCUACUGUGAUGCAUUCAGUAACUAUAGAGUUGUAUAGUUGUUGUAUACCCUACAAGUAUAGUUGUAGGGUAAUUUGGGAUCAUUUUUACUUGAUAUAUGAUCAUUUUAAAGUAGUCUGUCCUUCAAACUUUGUAUUAUCAGGAUGGGGCCAAUCAUUUCCUGGCUUGUUUGCAGUUCUUUUUUGCUCUGCCCUGCAUGUCUAUUUUCUUUUAGAGUGUCAGCUGUUUGAGGCAGGGGCUGUAUCUGUUUUAGUGUUUGGAAAAUGCAUAUAUAGUGCAGGCAUUAUCAGAAACAAGAGUUACUGAUAAUUAAAUUAAUGACUGAAUGAAGAAAAAUCCUUGCCUGGAACCACAGCUGCAGGAAAUUUGCAAACUAGCUGUUUAAUUAGUGAAGACUGGGGAGCAGAAAUCCUGCAGUGUCCAGUUUUUUAAAAAAAGUAAUGACAUUUCUCUGUAUAAGGCUCUGUUGAUGUAUUUUAAAGCUUUCAGUAGUAUGAUUAAUGCUGAUUUGUUCAGACAGGAUCUUUAAUCCUCAGCAGCUUCCCCCUCUUAGCUCUUCAGUUGUAUCUGACAACAUGUCAGAGCUUGAAUAGUGGCUUAAUUUAGUUUAGGUGAAAGAAUCAAACUGUAUCCAUAAUGAAAUAUUGGAAUGUUAGCACACUGUGGAGCCUAAAUAGAAAAUGGGACCAGGCUAAAUGAAAUUAUGCUAAAUUACAGUUUGCUGAGGAAAAGGACAAAAAGCAAAGAUUAAACUGGCAAAGAUUAAAUACUAGUCACUGAUGCAGCACUAACUGGAGGGAGCAUGGUUACAAAGGGGAAGAGCGGUGAAUCUAGGAACAUACAGAACUCUACUCAGAUAUAGAAAUGCACUCAGUCAAUUAUUACCCGUCAUAUUCUCCAUUGUGGGUAUAAGUAGAUGUCAGCCUACACUACAAACUGGAAUCAGGAUUGUAACUUGGUUAGGGGACAGCUACAAUGUAAUCAAGUUGCAUUUGUAGCACAGACAACACCUUAAUCUCUGUCUAAAGUAGGCAGGGAACCAAGAUACGUUUUUAUUUAUUUAUAUUCCGUUUAAAUAUGAUGCAGAUAAAUUGUUUCUAACAUUAUUUGGCUAUUUUUUAUGGUCAGGGCUGGUCAGGGAUAAUCAAGACUUGCAAGUGAGGAAUUUUAAAAUUUGUUCAUUAUAGGUAUCUUUAGCUCUCUCUCUCUGACAGUAAUGAAUGGAUUCAAAUUAUGCUAGAAUCACCUCGCUUUCAAGGGGUUUCUGCUAACAAGUGAUUUUCUAUUCAGCAGAAGUGUCCUAUCAGCAUUUUGCAUGUAGAAUUUAACAACUUACUGUAGAAAGUCAAUCCCACAAAAAUAUUUUCAGUGCAUGGCUACACUUACAGUUUUG